AGAGUUUGAUCAUGGCUCAGGACGAACGCUGGCGGCGUGCUUAACACAUGCAAGUCGAACGAGGAAUAGAAAGCUUGCUUUCUAUAACCGAGUGGCGAACGGGUGAGUAACACGUGACCAACCUGUCUUUGGGUGAGGGACAACCUGGGGAAACCCGGGCUAAUACCGCAUUAUGUCUUUUUUUCUCAUGGGAGAGAGACCAAAGAGGGCCUCUGCUUGCAAGCUCUCGCCUGAAGAGGGGGUCGCGGCGUAUCAGCUUGUUGGUGAGGUAACGGCUCACCAAGGCUAUGACGCGUAGCGGGUCUGAGAGGACGAUCCGCCACAUUGGGACUGAGAUACGGCCCAGACUCCUACGGGAGGCAGCAGUGGGGAAUAUUGCGCAAUGGUCGAAAGACUGACGCAGCGACGCCGCGUGUGGGAGGAAGCCUUUCGGGGUGUAAACCACUGUCAGGGGGGAAGAAUGCCGAGUGCUCGAAUAGGGCACUCGAUUGACGGUACCUCCAAAGGAAGCGCCGGCUAACUCCGUGCCAGCAGCCGCGGUAAGACGGAGGGCGCAAGCGUUGUUCGGAAUUACUGGGCGUAAAGCGCACGCAGGCGGUUUGCUAAGUCCUUUGUGAAAGCCCGGGGCUCAACCCCGGAAUUGCAUGGGAUACUGGCAGACUAGAGACUGGUAGAGGCUAGCGGAAUUCCUGGUGUAGCGGUGGAAUGCGUAGAUAUCAGGAAGAACACCUGUGGCGAAGGCGGCUAGCUGGGCCAGUUCUGACGCUCAUGUGCGAAAGCGUGGGGAGCAAACAGGAUUAGAUACCCUAGUAGUCC
rnacentral:rRNA from 1 species